rnacentral:rRNA from 14 species
UCUUAUGCAACACCUUCAGGGUCAGUUAGUACUUGGAUGGGAGACCAACUGGGAAUCCUGGGUGCUGUAGGUU